GAAGGGCAGCGUGCCAGAGGCUGGAGAUGGUAGCAGGAAUGCUAAUGGAGCCAUAACCACCACUAAUACCUUUAACAGCAUCCUGGCAGAGCUCCUCAAGCCAGGCCUCUUAAUCUCAGUUCUGGAAGCUGGCUUAUUUCCUUGACCCACCACCCUUCCUCUUUGUCGUCACUUGAGUAGCUGAUGUGCGGCCGGAGCCCUCCCCACUCAUAUCAUCAAAAAGGAAGCUGGUGAAAAAUGAAACG
rnacentral:lncRNA from 1 species